GGCUUAGAGUUUGAUCAUGGCUCAGGACGAACGCUGGCGGCGCGCCUAACACAUGCAAGUCGAACGGAAUGCGGGGAGGAUUUAUCUUUUCUGUGUUUAGUGGCGAACGGGUGAGUAACGCGUGAGGAACCUGCCUCAAAGAGGGGGACAACAGUUGGAAACGACUGCUAAUACCGCAUAAGCCCACGGGGCCGCAUGGCCCUGAGGGAAAAGGAGCAAUCCGCUUUGAGAUGGCCUCGCGUCCGAUUAGCUGGUUGGUGAGGUAACGGCCCACCAAGGCGACGAUCGGUAGCCGGACUGAGAGGUUGAACGGCCACAUUGGGACUGAGACACGGCCCAGACUCCUACGGGAGGCAGCAGUGGGGAAUAUUGCACAAUGGGGGAAACCCUGAUGCAGCGACGCCGCGUGGAGGAAGAAGGUCUUCGGAUUGUAAACUCCUGUUGUUGGGGAAAAGAAGGAUGGUACCCAACAAGGAAGUGACGGCUAACUACGUGCCAGCAGCCGCGGUAAAACGUAGGUCACGAGCGUUGUCCGGAAUUACUGGGUGUAAAGGGAGCGCAGGCGGGUAUGCAAGCUGGGAGUGAAAUGCAUGGGCUCAACCCAUGAACUGCUCUCAAAACUGUGUAUCUUGAGUAGUGCAGAGGUAGGCG
rnacentral:rRNA from 1 species